CUUACUUACUUUGGAAAUAAAUUAAUGAGAACCUGUUAGUUUCUCUUUGGAAAUAAUCAUUAUGAUUUGCUGUCAGAAUGCUGGAAAAUCUAAUCAUGGCUCCAUUACUGAGCCAUGAAAUUCACUAACUGGGCUUUGCCUGUUUCCUUUUGUUUAGCUUGGCAAGUUACUCUCCCUCAUUUUACUGAGUUCUGAGGAUAAAAUAGGAAGGAGGAAAGCUAUGGAUAUGGUAAAGCUGAUCAUUCUGUGACUAUAGAAAUACUGACGAGAACCUAUAAAGAUUAUGAAUUUAGUUGGUCAGACGACAAGAAGUGAACUGUUGCUGUGCAAUCUAAAAUACAAAGUCAGUUUGUUCUUGCUUUUAACAUAAUUCUAGAUUCUACCAGAAAGUACAAUUAUAAAUAAAAAUAAAAUAAAUAAAAAACUUGAA